GACACGCUGGCGGCGUGCUUAACACAUGCAAGUCGAACGAUGAAGGGUGCUUGCACCUGGAUUAGUGGCAAACGGGUGAGUAACACGUGAGUAACCUGCCCUUCACUCUGGGAUAAGCCUUGGAAACGAGGUCUAAUACUGGAUAUGACCUGGCCCUGCAUGGGGUUGGGUGGAAAGUUUUUCGGUGAGGGAUGGACUCGCGGCCUAUCAGCUUGUUGGUGAGGUAGUGGCUCACCAAGGCGACGACGGGUAGCCGGCCUGAGAGGGUGACCGGCCACACUGGGACUGAGACACGGCCCAGACUCCUACGGGAGGCAGCAGUGGGGAAUAUUGCACAAUGGGCGCAAGCCUGAUGCAGCGACGCCGCGUGAGGGAUGAAGGCCUUCGGGUUGUAAACCUCUUUCGGCAGGGAAGAAGCGAGAGUGACGGUACCUGCAGAAGAAGCACCGGCUAACUACGUG
rnacentral:rRNA from 1 species